rnacentral:lncRNA from 1 species
AUCUUCCUCGAUUUUUUGCAUGUGGGAUGCCUUCACAGCAUGGCCAAGGAGUGGAACAGAUCUGCCCCAGGAUCCGAACCCACAAACCUGGGCCACCAAAGAGCACGGCCCCCUGCCCCAGGAUUCUUCAGUCACCAUGCUUGCCCAGAGAGAAAGGUCCCGAAGAGCAGGCAGGUGGGUAGGAGGGUCCGCGGGCAGGACCCCAGGCUUGUGAGGGAAGAACUCCUGUGAGGUGUGGCUGCCCAACAAUCGGUGAGCGCUGGGGGCAGACGGGCAUGACCAGGCCGGUCACCUGGGGCUGCCCCAGCGUUGCCUCCACAGCACUGAAUCCUUUUAACCUCUGACAUGGAUAUCUUCUGCUCCCUCCUGUUGUAGCCACGCCACAGGCGUUUUGAACUUGAAUAUUUGUCAAAUGCUGGUUUGACAUGGACCUUCCACGAAGCUGAUGUCACCCAUCCUCCAUUCUCUUUGGUUUCCCCAGCCCCCAUCCUCUUUCCCCUUCUCUACAUUUUGGAGGAGUAAGGACGGAGGGGCUGUGGGUCCGGCAUCUCAUUUUCCAGAUGAGGAGGCUUGUGCUACUGACUUCACAGGCUUGCCCCUCUCGCCUCCGUGUUUUCAAGAACUCUGUUC